rnacentral:tRNA from 1 species
GCUUCUGUGGCGCAAUUGGUUAGCGCGUUCGGCUGUUAACCGAAAGGGUUGGUGGGUUCAAGCCCACCCAG